rnacentral:misc_RNA from 1 species
AAGUCGUAACAAGGUAACCGUAGGUGAACCUGCGGUUGGAUCAUUACCGAAUUCUUUUUGGCUAGUACGGAAUAGUCUGCUCUCCAUUCGGAGAACACUUUUUCCAGAACGCCGAAAACACCCUUAUGUGAACCAUUUGAAACCGUAUCUUGGCGGCCCUCCAAGCCCUUUCUCCUCUUAUGGUGAGAGAUGGGCCGUCAGCAUUGUGAACAAACACUUUUACUAUUCUUACCUAGUCUUAUCUUCAAUUAUUCACUUAAUUGACAAACAACUUUUGACAACGGAUCUCUUGGCUCUC